rnacentral:rRNA from 1 species
AAACUAGGAUUAGAUACCCUUUUAUAGUUUUUGAAGGUAUUAAGAAAUGUUUUUUAAACCUAAUGCUUCUGGCGGUUUUUUUUCUUUUCAGAGGGGCUUGUUUUUUAAUCGAUAGUCCUCGUUUAAAUUUUCUUUUAUUUUUAUUUUAUAUACCUCCGUUUGAAGAUAAUUAUUAGUUUACUUUUCUUUUUAAUUUUUUAUGUAAUUCAGGUCAAGGUUUAAUUUAUAUAUAAGAAGAAAUUAGCCAUGUAUUUUUAUCUUUUUGUAAAUAGAUUUUUAGGAUUUGUUGGUAAAAUUUUGUUAGUUUCUUCUUUUGAAUUAGUAAAAAAAGAUGUACAUAUCGCCCGUCACUCUUUUGAAAGAUAAGUCGUAACAUAGUA